rnacentral:lncRNA from 1 species
GAUCCAACUUCGCUCUGGAAACCGAGGCCUACACAGGUCACCAGGGUGAACAUGGAGGCCGCAUCGUCUCUGGCUGCAGGCCCUGUGUCCCAGCAGAUGGGCCUUGACUUGCUGCACUCCUGCCCCUGGCUGCUCCGGCCCAAGCUCUGCAGAGCCCCGGUCCUUCAGCAGCACAUCCUGAGUGCAGUGCAAGGGCUGGGUGACAUGGGCGAGCUCAAAGGACAACCAAAAGAAUCCCGAACAUUUCAGUCCUUGUUUUGGUUUUUUUUUUUUUAAAAUACACCCCUUCUGCUGAAUCCAUCCUCUGAAUCAGAGGAUGGUCAGCCCUCGGGAGCUGCCAGUUCCCUUCGAACUGCAAAACGAGCUCAGCUUUUGUGAGUUAACUUUGAUCGUAUCCUAGAGUUGGUCUCAUGCCCACCUCGGAGCCUUUGCCUGUACUGACUCCUGCCUGCAGCACCUGUCCUGGUUCGUGCGUGGUUGGGCCUUCUUGUCAUUCUCGUCCCAGCAGCUCCCACACCCUCGGGCAUACCGCCCCAUACCUGCAGCAUUCCCUCCCAGAACUUUCACUAUUCCAUAUUAGCUUCUCCACUGCUUCUUCACAUGUUAAAUCAGAAUCCCUGACUAGGACCUGAGCUCUGUCCUGGGCAACACUGUCUAGGUCAGCCCUGAAGACUGUCUCCGCCAGGGUGAGUGCUCACAGUGUUGCUGGGUAAGAGUGGCUUCAGCUUAUUAACCAACGUCUCGGCUGGUUCUCUGGUCUGGGAUUAUGAUGUGGGGUCCUAAGGUCCUACGGGUCAGAGGCGGGGUCCUCUGGGUAGCACAAGACCCUGUUUCCCUGCAGGCCAGCCCGGCGGCCUUGCCAUCCAAACAUCAGUCUCCAGGGUUCUGCUAAGACGAGGCCACCUCUGAUACCCCAACUGCCAGGUUGCCCACAGCCCUGGUCCAGGGAUGUGCAGAGUUAGAGGUCCUAACCCUGGCAUGUGGGAGGCUCAGCCUGGUGUAAAUGUCCACACCCACCCCUGCACUAGGGACUCAGCCGUAGGCCCUGCCCAGGCCUCCGUCUCUGACUUCCUCCAGAGCUCGCUUAUUUGCCUGAGGUACUUUACCUCUCUCCUUGCCUGAGACCCCAGAGCCUAUUUCUGCAAUAAUUCUUCAUUAAGAAAAUGAAAUACAAAAAUAAAACAGCCUCUUGCCAGGCUUAACAGCAGCACUAAAUUAGAUCUCUGUGAGUAGCCAAGUGGCCACUGUAAAAGAGAUGGAUGGGCUUUUAGCCUCAGAAACACACAGCAUCUUCUAGAACUUGGCAGAACUGACGGUCCCGACACACUCUCACCAGAGGCAGAGCCCUCCCUACCGCCUGCCUCGGAGCUGCCUUUGGAGAUGUGGGGGAGGCUUUGAGGUUGUCACAGAGAUGGGGGGUGCCAUGGGUGUUCAGGGGCCAGGGAUGCUCUACAUCCUGCAGAGGGCUGUACUGGGCCAAGAAAGUCCUGUCCCAAGUGCCAGGACAUCUCCUGGGAGUCUCUGCACCCUUGAGACUUUGUGGAGGGCACCGAGAGUGGACUCUGCCCAUGGGUGUGGGCAUCCUGCGGACCCCUGGCCAGGGGAAGAAACACAACAACCUCUCUUAGGUGGGCAAUGUCGUAGCAGCUCCAUCUCCUCAAGGGUGGCCUGGGACAUGAGUCACCUCAGACAGUGGAGCACGGGGCAGAGCAUAUUUUAUAUUAGUGAUUCAUGUGUGUUUUUGAAAUUAAACAAUAACUUCCCGCCUGCUCCCCUCGUUUACAUAACCACGACAGCAAGACCUAUUAUGAGUCAGGAAGGAAGGGUUUGGGGGCUCAAGUUCAUCCUUUAUCACAAGAUAAUCAGUCACCGUUCACCAAAUGCCAGCUGAGCACCUGGAACACGCAGCUUUAAUGAGACUCUUCUGUGGUCAUUAUUAAUUAAUUUAUUCAUUUAUUCAUUAAACCUUUCAGGGUAAUUUACCAUCUGAACAGAGAGAUGAUGGCAGAAACACACGCGGGUUGGAGAAAGUCUACAAUUUAAGCCUGAAUGAGCCACUUUAGAAAAUAUUGAAAAGUUUUUCAAUAUUGAAAGUACCAAAAUUAAGGAGGGGAAAAAAAAAGCAACAAUUGUGGUGGUAAAUUACAAUAUGCUAAUAUAUAAGAAAGGCAAUUACAUACUCAUCACUUGCAGUAAAAUGGUUAUUAUAAUAAUGUGGUAUUAUAAAAUUGAUAUGGUUAUUAUAAAAUAAUAGGGAAUUUAUCUUACAUUGUUUCGCAUUGAGAAAUAAUAAAAUUACCGUUG